CCUUGGCACUAGGAGCCGAUGAAGGACGUGAUAAGCUGCGAUAAGCUUCGGGGAGUUGCACGUAAACUUUGAUCCGAAGAUUUCCGAAUGAGGAAACUCACUUAGAGUAAUGUCUAAGUAUCAUUAAGUGAAUACAUAGCUUAAUGAGGGGAACUCAGGGAACUGAAACAUCUAAGUACCUGAAGGAAGAGAAAGAAAUUCGAUUCCGUAAGUAGCGGCGAGCGAACGCGGAUUAGCCCAAACCAAUAAAGUUUUCUUUAUUGGGGUUGCGGACAUAUCAUAACGAAGAGGUAUCGUAAUUGAAGAGGUUUGGAAAGACCCACCACAGAAGGUAAUAGUCCU
rnacentral:rRNA from 1 species